AAUGUGUUUGUAUUAGACGUAUGUGUUUUGGUAACAUUACGCGCCGUAUGAAUUUCAUCAUUAAAUACAACCAU
rnacentral:sRNA from 1 species